UUUCCUUUUUUUAAGAUCAGUGGCGCAUACACAUGCAAUGCAAUUAUGGAUCAUUUAAAUUUUGGAUUGUCAUGGGUUUUCAUGGCAGGACAACAUUCUGACACCCCACAGAUAUCUCAAAAGCAGGAAGAAUGUUACGAUGGUUACGACCACUCCACAGCAUCCCAUUUCGGGACUUAACCACUUUAGGGUCAGCGGCUGACCGAGCGAGCAAAUGUCACGCCGACGCCAUUUUGAAAGGUCCACUUCUGGUGGCAAACAUGGAUCACCAAGCAGUGGACUUGAAAACACGGGUGAAAUGGCAAUUUCCGGACAGUACUGGGCUAACCACACCGCUGAUCGGCUUAAACUACAGCAAAAAUCUGAGAAUUCUGUUGCUCGUUAUCAUUUUCUUCGCCUCGUAUAUGAAGAGGACAGCCGUUGUUCAGGCAUCAAAGCGUGAUAAAUAGUACAAAGUAAAGGGCCACCGUCUUUAAUCCGUACAUCAUGGCCAGCAUCACCACUGUUUUUUAAAUUUUGCCCUUCAUCCUGGUGGAUGCCCUUCUGUCACUGUUCCACCCCGCUUGGACCCGUUUCUUCACUUCCUGACCACACUCUCCAUUGCUCUGUAUAUGCACGUCUGGGAGCCGCGCCUCCAUACCGAUGGGUCGUGACAGAGCAUGGCAAAUGUGCAUGACAAAUGUGCAUGGCUAAAGCAUCCAAAGUCAAGGAAGAAAGACUUGUUCCCACUCAACAUGCCUAACUACAGGUACCAAGGUCUGAAGUGGAUACUUGAUCCAGAACCAACGGAUGUUAAGGCUCCAACUGCCACAGUUGAGGAGCUACUGGUCAGUCAUGACCACAUUAACGCCCUUCAAAAUGGCUGCACGGAACACUUGCGAAUGCAAGGCAGAGGCCGUCGGGGCGUGUCCUGUUUUCAGAGUAUAAUCAAUGAGGACUUGGUCAACAAAAGAUUGAAGUGUUUCUUCUGCUCAUAUUUAGUCAUGACUGUAUAAGUCCUUCAUACCCUCAGUUAAACACUGUAUUGUAACCAGAUGUUUGAAGCAUGCCAACUCACCAGUUAACCUUCACUGAACCUUGCUGAACUGUUUACUGGAGACCAGGACGUAGGAAUGUACCGGUUAUAACCAGCUAUAACUGGUUUACUCAUUAUGAUGCGGAUCUUUUGUGAUGCUCUUUAUUUUAUAAUGCGGUUCUCUUGUGAUGCCCUUUAUUUUCCUUUCAUACUUUUGUGAUGUGGUCCCUUCUGAUAGUAUAAGAAUGGUUUAAGUUUGUCUGUAACUCAUUUGUGCCCGGAAUAUUAUGGAAGUAAAAGCUUUGAAGCCUGUAUUUGGAUAACAAACAACUCACUACCCGAAAUGUAACGAACACGUGGAGGAAAAAGUGUCCUCCAACACUAUCUACAACAAUCAACACAAUAUUUGUUUGUGUCCAUCAAAAACAUCAAGUUCCAGUAUUCAGGUAUCUGGUUUCAUGUGUCAGGGGUCCGUGGGUCGUCUUCAGAUGGCAUUCUCCUUCUACCCGCCAUCAAGAGGUAAGAUGUUCUGGCAAACACCAGAGGCCUAGGACUGAGUGCCUCAAUUGACCGACAUCAAAUGUCCAAAUAGAUACUUUUCACGUGACGUCAUGAGUCACAUGACUUUUGUUUACGACGCCCACUGGUUUUAGCAAGUUAUCUCUGGUCAGUGUUCACGUAUUACUGACAUCCCGUCCUUUUUUCGCCGAUCCACAGCAGGAGGAAACUACUUUUCCUCUUCAGCUCUGUUUUUAAGCGGUCCUGUGAACAUGAGUUCAGCGUGUUGCUUGAAUCUCCACCACGGAUCUGGUAAAUUGGAUGAGUUGGAACACCGAACGCCUCAUCGUUGUCUUCAUUUUCUUUUUCCCAAGAUAAAAAUGACAACCUCAUCCUCAAGAAAAGUCAUGCAUACUAUCAUCAAAUACAGGGUCAGAUGAACCUAACAGGGACAAUAUGCUGUGACUUUGUGGGAUGGACACCGGAAGACUCUGCCGUCGUCAGAAUACCUGUAGAUAGAGCUUGGCUCCCCAACCUGGGUAUCCUCGUGGAAUCUUAUUUUUCAAAAUUUUUAACUUGAACUCCAGAAUAACCAUCAAUAGUCUAUCCGAUCGGAUACUAUGGUUUUGUCAUGUACAGCACCACUGCCGUAGAUCGGGAUCAACUUUGUAAGACCAUGAAGAUAUUUUCACAGCCACAGUUGUGAAUGGUGGUCACAAAGUUAAAAGGUAUUCACAAUAUUUUGUGUUACCUUUUAUGCCUUUUCAGAAUUUUAAUUUGUGUACAAAGGUCACUAAUAAGUUAUUGUAUGUUUAAAGAAAACUUUUUACUGCUCAUUGUACAUACAUUGGAACACGGAUUCAACUUCUGUAAUGAACAUAGCUCUUUUAAUACUUAACUACAUGUACAUUUGUUUACAUUCCUCCAGCUUCUGAUAUUUCAACAAUGGUGCUUAUAUGUUUACUGGAGUUGAACAUAAUUGAAAGAUUUUGGUAGAAAUUUGUCUCUAUAGGGCAGAUAUGUGGCCUUGUAUCUCAAAAUUAUUGUUUCGUUUGCACGUUCUAUAUGAAUACGUGCCCUUGCGAUCUUGUAACAAGC